UACGGGGGGGGCAAGCGUUGUUCGGAAUUACUGGGCGUAAAGGGCUCGUAGGCGGCCAACUAAGUCGGAUGUGAAAUCCCCAGGCUUAACCUGGGAACUGCAUCCGAUACUGGAUGGCUUGAAUCCGGGAGAGGGAUGCGGAAUUCCAGGUGUAGCGGUGAAAUGCGUAGAUAUCUGGAGGAACACCGGUGGCGAAGGCGGCAUCCUGGACCGGCAUUGACGCUGAGGAGCGAAAGCCAGGGGAGCAAACGGG
rnacentral:rRNA from 1 species